CAGGGGGUGGUUUAAAAUUUAAAAUAUCAGUUUUGGAGAUUGAUGAUAAGUAUAAUUUCUUUCCCUUGA
rnacentral:tRNA from 1 species